AUAGAAAAACGAUAUCUUGUGUGGGAAUAUUGUCACACGGAAUGAAAUCGUGAAGAGAUAAGUUUCUGUUGUUAUCACGACUCUUUCACAAGUGCACGAACCUGUGAACCAAGAUGAAGACGGCUCUGUUAGUUUUGUUCACAAUUGGUGUUUGUAUGUCGGAGUAUUGUGGUUGGCAUGGCGACACUUCCCGAUGCACCACCAAAUGUAAUGACGGGUUCCACUUAACUUGUAUUAGCUACCAAUGCACAUGCGUUCACACGGCUCCCGACACCACUUGUUCCACCGUGUCCACAUGCAGUGCUCUUGGGAAAUGUCCAGUUCACAUGCACUGGGAAUGCCUCUCUGACGGACACUGUCAUUGCCGGCCAAACCCGGUAUGACGGAUUCCAGCUGAAUGAAACAGCCUGUUGAUACUGUGUCUUCGACAGAAAAUAAAGGAAUUUGUCUAA